rnacentral:tRNA from 1 species
GUAGGUGUAGCUCAGUAGUAGAGCAUUUGCCUAGUAUGUAUAGGACCUUGAUUUGAUUCCUAACACUUAAA